rnacentral:rRNA from 1 species
GGCGUCGAGCGGCGGACGGGUGAGUAAUGCCUGGGAAAUUGCCCUGAUGUGGGGGAUAACCAUUGGAAACGAUGGCUAAUACCGCAUAAUAGCUUCGGCUCAAAGAGGGGGACCUUCGGGCCUCUCGCGUCAGGAUAUGCCCAGGUGGGAUUAGCUAGUUGGUGAGGUAAGGGCUCACCAAGGCGACGAUCCCUAGCUGGUCUGAGAGGAUGAUCAGCCACACUGGAACUGAGACACGGUCCAGACUCCUACGGGAGGCAGCAGUGGGGAAUAUUGCACAAUGGGCGCAAGCCUGAUGCAGCCAUGCCGCGUGUAUGAAGAAGGCCUUCGGGUUGUAAAGUACUUUCAGCAGUGAGGAAGGCGGGUGUGUUAAUAGCACAUUCGUUUGACGUUAGCUGCAGAAGAAGCACCGGCUAACUCCGUGCCAGCAGCCGCGGUAAUACGGAGGGUGCGAGCGUUAAUCGGAAUUACUGGGCGUAAAGCGCAUGCAGGUGGUUUGUUAAGUCAGAUGUGAAAGCCCGGGGCUCAACCUCGGAAUUGCAUUUGAAACUGGCAGACUAGAGUACUGUAGAGGGGGGUAGAAUUUCAGGUGUAGCGGUGAAAUGCGUAGAGAUCUGAAGGAAUACCGGUGGCGAAGGCGGCCCCCUGGACAGAUACUGACACUCAGAUGCGAAAGCGUGGGGAGCAAACAGGAUUAGAUACCCUGGUAGUCCACGCCGUAAACGAUGUCUACUUGGAGGUUGUGGCCUUGAGCCGUGGCUUUCGGAGCUAACGCGUUAAGUAGACCGCCUGGGGAGUACGGUCGCAAGAUUAAAACUCAAAUGAAUUGACGGGGGCCCGCACAAGCGGUGGAGCAUGUGGUUUAAUUCGAUGCAACGCGAAGAACCUUACCUACUCUUGACAUCCUCAGAAGCUUGUAGAGAUACGAGUGUGCCUUCGGGAACUGAGAGACAGGUGCUGCAUGGCUGUCGUCAGCUCGUGUUGUGAAAUGUUGGGUUAAGUCCCGCAACGAGCGCAACCCUUAUCCUUGUUUGCCAGCACUUCGGGUGGGAACUCCAGGGAGACUGCCGGUGAUAAACCG